GAGCAAGGGCGUCAGAUUAAUAAUGGCGUGAUUUGCAUUGAAGGUUGGCAAUAUCAAUCAGCGAUUCUCCGUGCCUAUCAAAUUUAACAUCUUGUUUUGAUUAUGGCCUCGAACAAGUCGCUACAUU